UCAAACACACCCAACAGGUGCAUGUCCGGUGUAGCUUACAUGCUAAAUGCUAAAAUCACGGUAGAUCCUGCAGCGAUGGAUUCUGCGUUUACUGAGGCACUUCAUCAUUCAGUAUGAUCUGUGUGAGGACUUUCUGGUGAUGGAAAGGCAGAAAAGUUUUUGCUUUGAGAACGAACCAUCAGAAGAUUGAGGAGGACUUCGUGGUGCACAUGCAUUCUCACAAGUGUGUAUUGUGGUGGCAGAUGGCUGUGCCUGGGACAUCAGGACAGUGGAUGAUGUGGCACAAAGAAAGAUGCAUGCAAUUCCUAUUUCUGCACUCAUGACAAUGAGCCAUGACAUGAUGGCGGAGACAAAGAAACCUGAGGCAGCUCCAUGUACAUCCAUCAGGGAGUGCUCCAAUGGAGCGCAGCGGGCCCGACGAUUGUCCUCAUAAAUUGUGUGUGUGUCGGGGUGCAGAAGGGCUAAGUGAGCAGUAAAUAACAAAGGGUCCUGCCACCAUCCGCUCACCAUCGGCACGUUUCCGGCCACGCAAGAUUACCCAGGAUGCCCCUGGAGGGGGUGUCCGCUUCCUCUGUGUGAUGAGUGGACAGGAGGAGGGAAGAACACGCCUUCACCACACAGCAUCUGACAGAGAGAAGAUGGCAGCCACACCUAAAUGCAGAAAGGGGAAGGCGAGAGGAAGUCAUUAAAGCAUGCCCUGCAGGAGCCUGCCUGGGCCUGGGUGGGAUGAGAUGGGACGGCAGCAGCACUUUGGAAGGAGCUGCUUUAAAGCCCGAACACAGGAAAUGUGACGGGAGAAGGACUGCAGGUCGGAUGUUUCAAGUUUACAUCCCUGCUGUGCUACACAUUGUGGGAUUACCUUGUUUUGGCAUCUUUGAACUCCAUCAGACUGCACCUCAAAGAAGGUCAGAAUUCAUACAGAUGGAGGUUUUGUCCAACUAACACCCUCCACCUUGUGAACCCCCAAAUGACAGUCGUGCAGAAGAUGAGAGGAGCAGGUGUGUCUCAGGCAUCAGGUGUCCACCUCAACAACCCCCGUCUGUUCCCUGUAAGCAGGUGUGAUACUUGCUCAUUAAUCCAUCUCAGGUUAUGACAUACCUUACAGGGGCUUCUGUUUCCUCCAUCCUUUUUUUAUUACAGGGGCUAUUAUAAAUACACAUGGUUUCUAUGGUGUUGUUCAUACAGCAUUCCAACAAUGUUUAUAUAUAUAUAUAUGUGUGUGUGUGUGUGUGUGUGUGUGUGUGUGUGGAUAAAACGUAAUAAAAAUAAAAAUAGUAAAGUACAAAAAGGAAAAUAAAGGAAAGAAGAAUUAAAAGACAUAUCAGAAAUACAUUAACAUAAAUAAUAAACUAAAGGAACUUGGGCAUCAUUCAAAAUGUGUUUAUUUCGUUUUAGUGAGAUGACAUCUCCUAUUACACUCCUUACUGCUACAGCGUCUUUUCUUUCUGAUUCCCUCCAUGUGCCAUGGGAAGAAGUGGCUCAUAUUUCAUGCU